CACAAACAUGUUCACCGAGCGGUUGCGCCUGCAGCCACCGGCGGUCGGGUUUUUCCCGCUGCAAGUGGUAUGGUGCCACCGCCGAUGGGCAGUCCGGGAAACCGGGCCGCCUCCCGUCCCGCCGCCGUCAGGUGGCGAUAGGACAUUGGAAAGGGGACUCCAUGACUCACUC
rnacentral:ncRNA from 2 species